rfam:Gossypium arboreum cultivar AKA8401 contig_7072_1, whole genome shotgun sequence.
UGUUAAAAUUUUUAUCUAUUUGUACUGUUAAAAAUUGAUGAGCUUGACGGAAUAACAAUACAGUGACAUAUGAGUGCGAUGUGUACAUCAUAUUAACACGUGCAGGGAUCAAUUUUUAACCCUAAAAAUUGAUGAAAUUUUUAUUA